AACGGGGGGAACUAGCGUUAUUCAUCAUGAUUUGGCGUAAAGGGAGUGUAGGCGGUUUCAAAUAUGCAAACGGUUAGCAUAGAAAAAUCGUUUGGUUAAAAAUACUUAUGCAUACGUGAAACUUGAGUCUGGGAGAGGAUUAGGGUACUCUGGCGGGAGUGGUGAAAUUCGUAGAUAUCGGGAGGAACACCAGUGGCGAAGGCGGCGAUCUGGGAAGAUACUGACGCUGAGGUGCGAAAGCGUGGGGAGCAAACAGG
rnacentral:rRNA from 1 species